rnacentral:misc_RNA from 1 species
CAAACGCGAAAUGUGUUAUGACAUGCACUCUUUGUGAAUCAUUGAAUCUUUGAACGCACCCUGUGCCCUUGGGCGUGCCCAUGGGUAUACUUGUUUGAGCGGGUUAUGAGAGAUGGGGGCGUGCGUGUGGAGUGGGAGGGGGAGCAGAGAUGCGAACUCGAACGCUUUGCGCACACACCUCCGGGUUGAGACGUCCAUUGUGUAUAUGGGGUCUUUAAAGGGAGGGCAUCACACUUGUUGUUGUUGUCGUUGGGAUAGGGAUAUAACAACGACGACUGCAGGAGAGUGAGUUUUGGGUUAGGGGGAGGAGUAGUUACUGAUCAUUGAUCAUUGAUUAUUUUCUCCCCCUUCAAAUAUCAUCACACCCCUCAAAUCAAGCAAGAUCACCCGCUGAACUUAA